GGCCGCCGGUAGAGAGAGAUCGAGCGGCGCUUGCUAUUUUGGGUUUGGGUUCCUCCGGAGCCACUCGCCCGGGUGGCACGGGAGGCAGGUGUUUCCUCACUCCUUAUCGAAAAAGGGAGGGAGGGAGAGUCAGGGAGAGACGACUAGUAGUAAUUAAGGAAGGUAAACAAGCAUGAAGAAAUGGCUAGUGCUGAGCAGCGGAAUCUACCAGUUUGGCUUUGUGCGCUGACCAAAUGCAUGAAUGAGUCUGUCAUUGCAGCACCUCAUUGGGCGCUCGUGGCUCGGUUUGGUUUUGAAUCCGUGAGAUGACACGCAGAUCUUGUUCAUUCACAAUUGAUCGAUCACAUAAUAUAUACAAUAUUUUGGAAGGAAGGAGAAAAGGAACGGACGGGUAUAUAUUUAGUGUGGAGCAAAAGAAAAAAGGCGAGCGAGAGAAAAUGCAUGUGCCUCUCCACUCCAGGCGAGGCGAACGUUGUCUCAGCAUAGUCAGUGUGGCGUGUGAUGCAGACACUUGGUCUUGGACAGGAUGGAUGAUCCGGCUGCAUGUAAUUAAUUAAGGUAACCGAUCCAUCUUUCUUUUGCGAUUUCUUGUUGACUCCGCGGCGAUUUCUUGGGUGCAGUUUGUUUUUGUGAGUUUC